rnacentral:rRNA from 1 species
AUUGAACGCUGGCGGCAGGCUUAACACAUGCAAGUCGAGCGGGGUGAUGGUGCUUGCACUAUCACUUAGCGGCGGACGGGUGAGUAAUGCUUAGGAAUCUGCCUAUUAGUGGGGGACAACAUUUCGAAAGGAAUGCUAAUACCGCAUACGUCCUACGGGAGAAAGCAGGGGAUCUUCGGACCUUGCGCUAAUAGAUGAGCCUAAGUCGGAUUAGCUAGUUGGUGGGGUAAAGGCCUACCAAGGCGACGAUCUGUAGCGGGUCUGAGAGGAUGAUCCGCCACACUGGUACUGGAACACGGCCCAGACUCCUACGGGAGGCAGCAGUGGGGAAUAUUGGACAAUGGGCGGAAGCCUGAUCCAGCCAUGCCGCGUGUGUGAAGAAGGCCUUAUGGUUGUAAAGCACUUUAAGCGAGGAGGAGGCUACUUUAGUUAAUACCUAGAGAUAGUGGACGUUACUCGCAGAAUAAGCACCGGCUAACUCUGUGCCAGCCGCCGCCGUAACAC